UGGGGAAUAUUGCACAAUGGGCGCAAGCCUGAUGCAGCCAUGCCGCGUGUAUGAAGAAGGCCUUCGGGUUGUAAAGUACUUUCAGUCGGGAGGAAGGUGGUAAGGUUAAUAACCUUAUCAAUUGACGUUACCCGCAGAAGAAGCACCGGCUAACUCCGUGCCAGCAGCCGCGGUAAUACGGAGGGUGCAAGCGUUAAUCGGAAUUACUGGGCGUAAAGCGCACGCAGGCGGUUUGUUAAGUCAGAGGUGAAAUCCCCGGGCUCAACCUGGGAACUGCAUCUGAUACUGGCAAGCUUGAGUCUCGUAGAGGGGGGUGGAAUUCCAGGUGGAGCGGUGAAAUGCGUAGAGAUCUGGAGGAAUACCGGUGGCGAAGGCGGCCCCCUGGACGAAGACUGACGCUCAGGUGCGAAAGCGUGGGGAGCAAACAGG
rnacentral:rRNA from 1 species